GUUAUGGUGGCUUAGUGGUUAGCGCUGUUGCCUCGCACCUCAAGGGUUGUGGGUUCGAAUCCCACCUCUGCUA